CAGGCUUAACACAUGCAAGUCGAGGGGCAGCACAGGUAGCAAUACCGGGUGGCGACCGGCGCACGGGUGAGUAACGCGUAUGCAACUUACCUAUCAGAGGGGGAUAACCCGGCGAAAGUCGGACUAAUACCGCAUGAAGCAGGGGCCCCGCAUGGGGAUAUUUGCUAAAGAUUCAUCGCUGAUAGAUAGGCAUGCGUUCCAUUAGGCAGUUGGCGGGGUAACGGCCCACCAAACCGACGAUGGAUAGGGGUUCUGAGAGGAAGGUCCCCCACAUUGGUACUGAGACACGGACCAAACUCCUACGGGAGGCAGCAGUGAGGAAUAUUGGUCAAUGGCCGAGAGGCUGAACCAGCCAAGUCGCGUGAGGGAUGAAGGUUCUAUGGAUCGUAAACCUCUUUUAUAAGGGAAUAAAGUGCGGGACGUGUCCCGUUUUGUAUGUACCUUAUGAAUAAGGAUCGGCUAACUCCGUGCCAGCAGCCGCGGUAAUACGGGAGGAUCCGAGCGUUAUCCGGAUUUAUUGGGUUUAAAGGGUGCGUAGGCGGCCUUUUAAGUCAGCGGUGAAAGUCUGUGGCUCAACCAUAGAAUUGCCGUUGAAACUGGGAGGCUUGAGUAUGUUUGAGCCAGGCGGAAUGCGUGGUGUAGCGGUGAAAUGCAUAGAUAUCACGCAGAACCCCGAUUGCGAAGGCAGCCUGCCAAGCCAUUACUGACGCUGAUGCACGAAAGCGUGGGGAUCAAACAGGAUUAGAUACCCUGGUAGUCCACGCAGUAAACGAUGAUCACUAGCUGUUUGCGAUACACUGUAAGCGGCACAGCGAAAGCGUUAAGUGAUCCACCUGGGGAGUACGCCGGCAACGGUGAAACUCAAAGGAAUUGACGGGGGCCCGCACAAGCGGAGGAACAUGUGGUUUAAUUCGAUGAUACGCGAGGAACCUUACCCGGGUUUGAACGCAUUCGGACCGAGGUGGAAACACCUUUUCUAGCAAUAGCCGUUUGCGAGGUGCUGCAUGGUUGUCGUCAGCUCGUGCCGUGAGGUGUCGGCUUAAGUGCCAUAACGAGCGCAACCCUUGCCACUAGUUACUAACAGGUAAAGCUGAGGACUCUGGUGGGACUGCCAGCGUAAGCUGCGAGGAAGGCGGGGAUGACGUCAAAUCAGCACGGCCCUUACAUCCGGGGCGACACACGUGUUACAAUGGCGUGGACAAAGGGAAGCCACCUGGCGACAGGGAGCGAAUCCCCAAACCACGUCUCAGUUCGGAUCGGAGUCUGCAACCCGACUCCGUGAAGCUGGAUUCGCUAGUAAUCGCGCAUCAGCCAUGGCGCGGUGAAUACGUUCCCGGGCCUUGUACACACCGCCCGUCAAGCCAUGGGAGCCGGGGGUACCUGAAGUCCGUAACCGCGAGGAUCGGCCUAGGGUAAAACUGGUGACUGGGGCUAA
rnacentral:rRNA from 1 species